GGGGGCAUAGCUCAGGGGUAGAGUAUUUGACUGCAGAUCAAGUGGUCCCCGGUUCAAAUCCGGGUGCCCCCU
rfam:Fukomys damarensis contig119712, whole genome shotgun sequence.